UGCGCCCAGGGUGGUGUGGAGAAGGGGUUGUACCUCCACUCGACUCCAGGUGCGCCAGGACUGCACCCUCUUCUCCCCCACCCAGCUUCACUGGGCCGGCGCCUAGCAGCCCACUUAGAACUGGUGACUGUUGAAUUAAAACAAUGCAUUGCAAAGGCCCAGCGGGUGCUGACACAAUGUGAUUUCUGCCCAGGGCUCUGAUUGUGAAGUGAAGACAUUCAAUGAAGCGCGGGGAUUAACUAUGACUCUCUUAAGGUAGCCAAAUGCCUCCUCAUCUAAUUAUUGAUGUGCAUGAGUGGAUGAACGAGAUUCCCACUGUCCCUACCUCCUAUCCAGCGAAACCACAGCCAAGGGAACGGGCUUGGCGGAAUCAGCGGGGAAAGAAGACCCUGUUGAGCUUGACUCUAGUCUGGCAGGUGAAGAGACAUGAGAGGUGCAGAAUAAGUGGGAGGCCUGGCGCCCCUCCAUCUCUGCGAGGGGGUGGGGUCAGCCAGUGAAAUACCACCACUGGGGGGACAGUGCCAGGUGGGGAGUGUGACUGGGGCAGUACACCUGUCACAUGGGAACGCAGGUGUCCGAAGGCGAGCUCAGGAGGACAGAAACCUCCCGCGGAGCAGAAGGGCAAAAGCUCGCUUGAUUUUGAUUUUCAGUACGAAUACGGACCGUGAAAGCAGGGCCUCACGAUCCUUACGACCUUCUGGGUUUUAAGCAGGGGGUGUCAGAAAAGUGACCACAGGGAUAGCUGGCUUGUGGCGGCCAAGCGUUCAUAGCGAGGUCGCUUUCUGAUCCUUCACUGUGGGUUCUUCCCAUCAUUCCCAUCAUUCCCAUCAUUCCCAUCAUUCCCAUCUUUGUGAAGCAGAAUUCCUCACGCAUGGGAUUGCUCACCAAGAGGGAACGUGAGAUGGGUUAGAUUCAACCUCCUGAGGAUGUGUUGUUGCCAUGGUAAUCCUGCUCAGUAGGAGAGGAACUGCAGGUUCAGUUGGUGGAUGUGCUUGGCUGAGGAGCCCAGGGGGCGAAGCUACCAUCUGUGGGAUUAGGACUGAAGCUUCUAAAUCAGAAUCCCGCCCAGACAGAACCAUAAGGCUGCACCUUGGGCCUCGGUUGCCCUCAGAUAGCCGGUCCCUGCCAGCGGGCUGUCUCCUCCCCUCUGCGCAUCUGGUAGGUCCGGUGCGGAGAGCCCUUGGUCCUGGGAAAUGGGGGGUGGCUGGAAAGGGGUCCGCCCUCUCCAUUCUUCACGCAAUGCACGUUUGUGGGGAGUCUGGUGCUAAACCAUUGCAAUUGACCUGCUUCUGGGUGGGGGUUUCGUAAGUAGCAGAGCAGCUCCCUCGCUGUGAUCUACUGAAAGUCAGCCCUCCACACCAGUGUUUGUCUCGCUUCUGGCCUCUUUCCUUGGGGAGGGGAGGGAAGUGGGGAGGGGACUGUCGCCCGCCCCCUAUGGUGGGGGCACGCAGCACCCUAGGGAAGGAAGGGGGACACUGCACCCCUGGAGCCCAUGGUGGCAUUAGCGACCCUUCCUUCCUUCCUUUGGGGCCCCAUCAUGGCGACCAGUCGCCUCCUCUCCGGAACCCCGCCGCAGGGCCAUUUGGCUCCGGGCUGGGACUAGGAAGUGGGGGUGGGUGGCGGUGGACUCGGCCCCUGACCAAGGGGGGCUGAGGGCCGGCUCCUCCCCAUUUUUUCCUCCCCCUCUGAGGAGCAUGGUCGACCAGCCCUGCAAAACCGCUGGCGCAGGGCGGCUGCAGGGAAAGAAGGUUGCCUCGUGGCUCCGGGUCGACCAGAUGUCCCGGCCCAGACUUAGUCUCUGGCAGCGGCAGCAGCAGCAGCAGCAGGGACCACAAGAGACGGGGUUGACUAGAUGGCCCGGCCCAGACAGUCUCUGGCGGCAGCGGCAGGGACCACAAGAGAUGGGGUCGACCAGAUGGCCAGGCUUUGG
rfam:Myotis davidii contig183015, whole genome shotgun sequence.